rnacentral:rRNA from 1 species
CAGUCGCCGCGGUAAUACGAGGGGGGCAAGCGUUGUUCGGAACUAUUGGGCGUAAAGGGUGCGUAGGCGGUUUGAUAAGUCUUGUGUGAAAUCUAUGGGCUCAACCCAUAGUCUGCACAGGAAACUGUCGGGCUUGAGAGUGGGAGAGGUGAGUGGAAUUUCCGGUGUAGCGGUGAAAUGCGUAGAUAUCGGAAGGAACACCUGUGGCGAAAGCGGCUCACUGGACCAUUUCUGACGCUGAUGCACGAAAGCUAGGGGAGCAAACAGGAUUAGAUACCCCCGUAGUCCCUGUCUCUUAUAC